UACGUAGGGUGCAAGCGUUGUCCGGAAUUAUUGGGCGUAAAGAGCUCGUAGGCGGUUUGUCGCGUCUGCUGUGAAAUCUGGGGGCUCAACCCCCAGCCUGCAGUGGGUACGGGCAGACUAGAGUGCGGUAGGGGAGAUUGGAAUUCCUGGUGUAGCGGUGGAAUGCGCAGAUAUCAGGAGGAACACCGAUGGCGAAGGCAGUGUCCUGGGGAGUACCUGACGCUCAGGUGCGAAAGCCAGGGGAGCGAACGGG
rnacentral:rRNA from 1 species